UCAUAGUAAUCAACUUGAGAAGCAUCCAACCCAGCAUUUGCAAUCGUUUUAGGUAUAGCCAAUGCUGGAGAAGUUGUAAAUAACUCUGGUGCCUGAGCAGCGUCAGCAUAUCCUCUGAUCUUUGCAAUCACUUGCAAUCCAAGCUUAAGAGCAGUCUCUCCACUCACCAGAAUUACAGCAGCAGCACCAUCACUUAUGCUAGAGGCGUUGCCAGCAGUAACUGUGCCUCCAUUCUCUUUGAAACUUGGUCGGAGCUUCCUUAGUUUUACAGGGUCAAACUUCCCUAAGCCUUCAUCCUUGUCAACAAUUGUCAAAGGUUUUCCCCUUCCCCCAGAAACUUCAACCGGAACAAUUUCCCAUGCAAAGGCACCACU
rnacentral:misc_RNA from 1 species